rnacentral:rRNA from 1 species
AAAUAUAGCCCAGAUAAAAAAGUAGUGUCUCAGAAGCUAAGCAAGAUCGGGCCUGGUUAGUACUUGGAUGGGAGACCACCUAGGAAGACCAGGUGCUGUAGGCG